rnacentral:rRNA from 1 species
UAAUACGUAGGGUGCGAGCGUUAAUCGGAAUUACUGGGCGUAAAGCGUGCGCAGGCGGUUCGUCGUGUCCGAUGUGAAAGCCCCGGGCUCAACCUGGGAAUGGCAUUGGAAACUGGCGGGCUUGAGUGUGGCAGAGGGGGGUGGAAUUCCGCGUGUAGCAGUGAAAUGCGUAGAGAUGCGGAGGAACACCGAUGGCGAAGGCAGCCCCCUGGGCUAACACUGACGCUCAGGCACGAAAGCGUGGGGAGCAAACAGGAUUAGAUACCCUGGUAGUCCACGCCCUAAACGAUGAUCACUGGGUGUUCGGGGAGCGAUCUCUGAGUACCGUAGCUAACGCGUGAAGUGAUCCGCCUGGGGAGUACGGUCGCAAGAUUA